CCCGAGCGCCUAUUGUAAUCAUCGGUUACAACUCAGCUCAUACAUGAAAGUAUAGCUGGUGGUCCAUACUUGAUGGUGGAGUGUCACUGGCAAUCACCAAAGAUCACAUCUUUAAGAAGCUCGAGGAAGCAACCAAUAUUUGAUUGCUUCCAUAGGGUUUGCUAGGGUUGAGUUGAAUUUGGAGAUGUUUAAUCUUUAAGCAUAUGAUUUGAUGAUCUUACAGUACAAAUAUUUAACCAUAGAAUUUGGAGAUGUUUGAUCUUGGUUGGAACAUGCUAAGGCAAAGAAAUGGAGCAGAGGAAAGGGGGAUUUGUUUCCAGUGAUAGUGGGUGUGACAACAAUUGCUAUAAAGGAGAAAGUGUAGUGGCUUUUAGAAAAGGAAAAAGAGGGAAGAAAGAGAGAGGGGGUUGCCACCAAAGGAAGAGAGGUUGUCAGUUGUUGGUUAUCGAUUGCCAAUCGCCAAUCACAUCACUAUUGAAUGCAAGGAGAGUUGCAAGGAGGGUAAGCCAAUUCGUUGGUUGGGAAAAUCAUUUCUUAUUUAGCGUUUCUCGGUUUUAGUGUGUUUAAUAUAAUAUUUAUAAAUUUAUAUAUGUAGAAAAAUAAAUAUAUAACUUAGUGGCAAAACAUGCGCUAUCACUAAUAUAGAUUUUGAUGAUAAAUGUGAAAUAAUUGUCAAUCAAGAUAUUAUUUAUCAUAAUACUUGGCAUGGAUUGACUAUCUUUGUAUUAUGCCAACAUAGAUUGUUAUACAAAAGUGAUCACUUUAUGCAUACCAAAUCAGCCCAUUCUUUAUUUUAAGGUUAUUAGGUAUGAUUCAUCGCCUUGUCUUAUAUCAUGACGUCAAGCUUAUCAUCAUAAACAAAAAGGUUGUUGUUGCUAUCUUGUAUGGGUAAAGGAG
rnacentral:lncRNA from 1 species